GGUUGCAAACCCCUUGCUGUGACUUCUGUCACCGCAUUGAUCACCAGGGUUAUUCGGCUGAUCUGACUGGCUAGGCAGUGUCCCCUUCUUCAUUCACUGCUCCAUGUGCGUCUCUCCUUAAGCUGACUGGUCAAGGAUAUAUGAGUAGCUCCCCUGCUAGAACCUCCAAACUAUCUCCCAAGAACACAGUGGUUCUUAAUAAGUCAAUCUGUUAUUGUUAUCUUGUCAUUAGGGCUAGAGAGCCUCUUUUG
rnacentral:snRNA from 1 species